rnacentral:misc_RNA from 1 species
UGAGUUCGAAUGCGUCCGGAGAGGAUGAGGUAUUAAGUGUAGUAGAUUCUGUCUCGUUUUAGAGUUUCAGGUCCAUCACUCAAGGUGUUUCCCUCUAUUCCGUAUAGAUUUUGGGAUCUUUAUUGGCUUUUAUUGUGUUGUAAUUUACUGGUUUGUGCAAAUAGAAUUAUAAUUGGGUUUGAUAAGCGACGGAUUAGGAUAAAUUUUGGGUUACACUACCUGUUGCUAUCCCUAAAAAA